GACCACUUGGCUCUACCAAUCAGUGGGAUGCGGGUGGGGCCAGAUAAGAGAAUAAAAGCAGGCUGCCCGAGCCAGCAGUGGCAACCCGCUCGGGUCCCUUUCCACGCUGUGGAAGCUGUGUUCUUUUGUUCUUUGCAAUAAAUCUUGCUGCUGCUCAGUCUUUGGGUCCACACUGCUUUUAUGAGCUGUAUGUAACACUCACCGCGAAGAUCUGCAGCUUCACUCCUGAGCCCAGCGAGACCACGAGCCCACCGGGAGGAACGAACAACUCCAGACACGCUGCUUUAAGAGCUGUAACACUCUCCACAAAGGUCUGCAGCUUCACUCCUGAGCCAGUGAGACUACGAACCCACCAGAAGGAAGAAACUCCGAACACAUCUGAACAGCAGAAGGGAAAGACUCCAGAUGCACCGCCUUAAGAGCUGUAACACGGCCGGGCGCGGUGGCUCACGCCUGUAACCCCAGCACUUUGGGAGGCCGAGGCGGGCGGAUCACGAGGUCAGGAGUUCGAGACCAGUCUGGCCAACAUGGUGAAACCCCGUCUCUACUAAA
rnacentral:lncRNA from 1 species